AUGUUUCUAAACACUUCUACAUUAAUGUGGCUGGUCUCGCAGGUAGAGUCUGCGAGAGCGGGGGCGGAAGAUGACUCAUCGGCUGACAACAUGGUAACGACUGGACCGGAAACGACUACGAGUAAUGAGAGCACAGCACAAGAGAACACCACAGCAACUGUCACAAGUUCUGCUGCAACAGCGGGCCACAAACAGAUGCAGGUAUGUGUCUGUGGUUGGAGGAAAGUUACAUCACACCAUGGGUUGAGGAUCCACCAGGGGAAGAAGGGGUGUUUGGGUAAAGAGAGACAGAGGCCUCGCAUUGAUUACUUUCUGCGAAAGCGAUCAAAUCAGUCGAAUGAAGCACAGCAACUGGACGCAAACCAUAGUUUGCAGUGCAUCAGUAUCACUGUCAUGGAGGACGUAAACUCAAGCACCGAAGUAACAACUGAGGUGGAACCAACAACAGGAGUGGAACUCACCGAGCCUCCCAGACCUGCAGUCGAGAGGAGACUGCCAGGGCACAGGCCGUAUGUGAAGUGGCCUGGCGCCAGUGACAAGAAGUUGUGGGAAACAGUGAAUACUGACGAGAAACUUCGAGGCACAGUGGAGAAGAAGUUGGAGAGGAUGGGGGACAUUAUCUAUGAGUACGGGAAAGAAAGAUUGGAAGAGGCAAAAGGCGGGAGAAAGGUUCCAACCCCACCAGUUUCCAGGAGGCAACAAGAAAUCAAGCGCCUCGUUCAAGAAAGGCGACAGCUUAAGAAACAGUGGAAGAAGGCCUCGGAAGUGGAAAAGGAGGGCAUAGAGGCACUUCAGGCUGAUAUCAAAACCCGGUUAGCAUCCCUCCGCAGAGCAGAGAACCUACGGAAACGCAGAAGGAAGAAAGAACAAACUAUAACUCGAUUCUAUAAAGAUCCCUUCAAGUUCCUUAAAAGUCUCUUCACGAAGGAAAAAAGUGGAGCUCUAAAAACAACAAAGAAAGACCUAGAGGAGCACUUGAGAACAACAAACUUUGACUCAAAGCGACAUGAACAUCUGGCCAUCCCAUCAGAUAUCCCACCCACCCGGAACAUCAUAUUGAGACCAGCCCUCCGACAUGGAAAGAGGUGGAAAACACAGUUCAACGGGCAAGAACAGCAUCAGCCCCGGGGCCAAAUGGAGUCCCGUACAAAGUGUAUAAGAACGCACCAGACGUCCUGA
rnacentral:lncRNA from 13 species